AUGUGUUCGGUUCAAAAGGCCUUGCAUAAUGGUUAUUGGAUCUCCCAGCUGGACAUUUCUUCGGGUAUCUCUAUUGACCACAUCUCCCAGUUUGCUGUCCUUUGGGAAAGGCUUUCCCACAUUCAGCUAAACCCCGGCAUGGAGGAUUCGAUCUCGUGGAAGUUCUCCAAAGAUGGCCAGUACUCCGCGGCCAUGGCCUACAGUGCCCAAUUCCUUGGUCUGAUGGACACGGACAUGAACCAAAUUGUCUGGAAGAACUGGGCUCCUCCCAAGUGCAAGUUCUUUACUUGGUUGGUCAUCAACAACAGGAUUUGGACAGCUGACAGGCUACAACGCCGUGGCUGGCCAAAUUGUCACUUAUGCCCGCUGUGCAAGCAAGUUCAAGAAUCGGCGGCACACCUCCUUUUCCAGUGCAGGUUCACCGUCAGGGUGUGGGGCAUGCUUAAAAGUUGGUUGGGGCUGCACGACAUCCAACUUGCGGAUUGGGCGCCUUUCGAGUCUGUUAAGGCUAGUGGAGACACAACGCCACGCAUAUGA
rnacentral:rRNA from 1 species